CAUCAUGACUCCCUAGUCUUCAGCAGGGUUAGACAACCAGGUGAGGGCAGUUCCUUACUAAUUAGUAAACUAGACAACCAGGUGAGGAGAGUUCCUUACUAAUUAGUAACCUAGACAACCAGGUGAAGGGAGUUGCUUACUAAUUAGUAACCUAGACAACCAGGUGAAGGGAGUUGUUUACUAAUUAGUAACCUAGACAACCAGGUGAGGGGAGUUCCUUACUAAUUAGUUACCUAGACAACCAGGUGAAGGGAGUUGCUUACUAAUUAGUAACCUAGACAACCAGGUGAGGGGAGUUCCUUACUAAUAAGUUACCUAGACAACCAGGUGAAGGUAGUUGCUUACUAAUCAGUAACCUAGACAACCAGGUGAGGAGAGUUCCUUACUAAUUAGUUACCUAGACAACCAGGUGAAGGUAGUUGCUUACUAAUCAGUAACCUAGACAACCAGGUGAGGAGAGUUCCUUACUAAUUAGUUACCUAGACAACCAGGUGAAGGUAGUUGCUUACUAAUCAGUAACCUAGACAACCAGGUGAGGAGAGUUCC